GCCACAAACGCAGACACUCUUAUCUCCUUGGUUAUCUGUGUUGCCCUCCAGUACUUUGUGUAUAUUUAUGUAUCUUCAUCAUCUACAUUUCACAAAUUGACCUUAAUCGCAGAGCUUACAUAUCUCACUCCAUCAUUUAUCUCUCUCAGAAUGUUAAUCCCUGAUCUGGAAAUUGUGUUUCUCUGAAAAGCUAUGAUGAUAACGCCUUUUUGAACUUCUUCAGGGGAUUGUCUUUUGCUUAUGCACCUAUCAGCGGUGUGCCUAAUACAUCUCAGUUUCCGCAAAUGGGUUAUAUGGUGGAAUGCUCAAUAUAUCAAUCAAACACAAAAUUACUUAAAUGUGGGAUAUCUGUUAUAAGGAACAUGCCUCCCUCAAUAACCUCUUUUACCUCUUUCAUUGGAGGACACUCAUAUAGAGCAUUGACCAGAAAUUUUUGUCUGAGGGAUGUAUGGCAUGCAACACAAACUUGUGAGCCACAGUUUGGUGGGAAGUCUUCGGAGGGGGAAACUAAAAGCGAAGAAGAAACCCACUUUAGCUGUUUUGAUGACUUCGAUUUUGAAGAUGAUCCAGAACUUUUAAGAAGGAGAAGGAUUGGAUUGGCUAACAAAGGGAAAGUGCCGUGGAACAAGGGGAAAAAACAUAGUGCAGAAACUCGUGCGCUGAUCAGGGAGAGAACAAGAGCAGCCAUGAGAGACCCCAAGGUCAAAGAAAAGAUGGCUGAAUCUCCACGAACUCAUAGUGACCAAACAAAGGAUAGAAUACGCUCAUCGAUUAGACGGCUUUGGGAUGAGCGAUUUAAGGAGAGAAUGGCUGGGGAAAAAUUGUUCUUAGCAUGGGCUUCCCGUAUUGCAGAGGCUGCUAAGCUAGGUGGAAGUGGCGAAGAAGAACUUGACUGGAAUAGCUAUGAGAAGAUUAAACGUGAGAUAGCUUUAGAACAGCGUCAGCGGGCAGUGGACAAGGUAACUGCAAAGGAGAUGGGACGCAUACGCAGUCAGAGAAAAGCACAGGCAAAAGCAGAGAAGCUGAUAAGGCUUGCGGAAAAGAGAGACGUACAGGAGAAGGCAAAUUUUAAGGGUGACAAAAAGAGAAAAACACACAAGAAGUCGAAAGAAGAAAUAGAGGAGUUGGCUGUUGCUCAAGAAUUAAGACUAAAGGAAAGAUUGAUAAAGAUGCACAGGAGAAAAUCCACCGCCGGUCAGUUGACCAAUCAAGAUCACCGGUCUUGGGAAAAAAUUGAUUUGGAGUCAGUUAAGAGAGAUCAGAUACACAAGGAAGUUUCACUUGCAGACCAGAUCCGAGCUGUGAAGAACAAAAGAACUCUGACAAAUUCAUCUUCAAUUUGUCUAUCUAGUCAGAGAUCAGAUGAUGAGUGAGAUUGAUCUCCAUGAUUUGCUGCAAACUAAUACAAUUGAUGAACGAAAGGUAAGGUGUUUAAGGAGUUCAGUCCUUAAGCUACAGCAUAGCAUCAUCACGGGGCCAUAGCCUACCUGCUGGAAUGAUAAAUAAGGUACUCAAUGCUAACAAGUUAUAUUGUCAUGCAAUGCAGGACAAAAUAACUGUCAUGAAAAGCAUUUUACUUCCUUGUUCAUGCUAGUCAUUUAAAAGCAAAAAUGUACUCUUCAAGGCAGGAACCAGACAACCAAUGACGUACUAAUUGACUAACUAAUGAUCUUGAUAUGUUCUCCUGUGCUCUGAUUAUUUUUAGACUUGUAAAAUCAUUGAUGAGUUUCUAUCUUAUAUUAUGAUUCUGUGGUGAUCAUUCUGAUGUAAUAUAUGUAGCUCAAGUAUUUUUAAAGAACUCUGGUUUCAAAUUGCAAACUGCAGUUUCGAUA